GAAAUUUCUACUUGCACCUCCAGCAGCAACGACAGAUUUGUUAUCACUUGGGACUCUAAAAACAUAAAAGUCACAUCUGAAUAGAUCCGUUGCAUGCUUUUGAUGUAAGAUCAGCAGCAGGAAAAAUGCUGCUGCAGCAGUUUGACGGUGCGCGUGUGAGCUGUCUUCUCGCCACGGCCGUCAUGCCAGGUCAGGUUGCUGCCCCCGGACCGACGUGGCAGUUGGUAGCUCAGCUCUUCAGCCGACAACGUGUGCUCCAGGGAGGCGCGGCAAAAGCUGAAGCUGGACGCCGCUGAGAGGAGAUAGAAGUAGAGAGAGCUGGCAGGUCUUUUGGGUCGUCGGGACAAACCCGUGUAAUUACUGCCAGUCAGACUGAGAUGGAAGAAACAGGAGAGGGAACGUGUGGAGCUAAAGCGCCCUGCAAGCCUAAAAGCCUGCCAAUCGAAGAGAAAAAGACAAAAGAACGAGACAAAGCAAGAGAGACAAGAGUGCUAGAUGAGCAUCAUUUCAUCUCCGCUCCACUGAUGUCUCAUUCGCUGCCCUUUCACCAGACCUUGUGAGCUCCAGAAGUCAUAAAACGAAGAUAAAGCACUCGCGCCGCAGACUAUCAUAGACUUGUUCUUAAUCUCGUAGAAGAGGUUACAGACAAUUUAAAGAAAAAUUCAUCGCUGAGUAAUAACAGCGAGAAAAAAAAUAUUCUGAUUGUUAAACUAUACUCCAUCAAAUCAUGUAGUUAGGCAUAUCAUUUCUAAUAAACCAACCAAUGUCCCAACUUUGAGUCAAGGCGUUUGGAAACACUAAGAAUGCAUAGUUACUAAAAAGAUUUAUUUGAGCAAAAAUCUCUUUGCCCAAAAGUUUUUGAAGAAAAGGGGUUGGAAAUAUCGACCUGCAACAAACUCUGCAAACAUCGUGGGCCAGCUAGGUGGACCGGGGCCAAAUCUGGCACCUGGUCCUGUCGCUUGGCCAGGACUACAAUGGAAGGAAGGAACUGCCAGUCAUAUCUCAGAGGUGAUUAGCAUCUUCACUGGUCAGCAUCACGAGUCAUCUGUCACCUUUCUGUCUCAACGCUCAGUACUUGAUUAGCUUGGACAACUGCCAAAUAUACUUUGUCCUAUUUGUCGCUAACUGAUGUUGAAUUAUUUUCCCCUACCCUUGACAAGAAGCCUUUAACAACUUCCCAAAGGAA